rnacentral:tRNA from 1 species
GGUCGGUUAGCUCAGUUGGUUAGAGCGUCGUACUAAUACACCAGAACACUGAUGUAUUGAGUAAUGCGAAGGUCAUGGGUUCGACCCCCAUACUGACCA